GUGUGUGUGUGUGUGUGUGUGUGUGUGUGUGUGUGUGUGUGUGUGUGUGUGAGAUGACAUGCACAGAGGACAGGGGAAGCUCUCUGGAGUCUUUCCUGCCAUCAUGUGUGUCUUGGGCUGGAACUCAGAUCUUCAGUUUUGCAUUCUUGCACCUUGUUGGCUGGCUCAGGCUUCUUCUCACAGGGGGCCAAGGCUCACCAGCAGCAGAUGGAGCACGUCCAGUGUCUGAGCUUUAGUAGGCCCAGAAUGCACCUUUGGAAGCUCUGACUCACCCACAUCCUUUGGUAUGGCUCCACUCUUGCAACAACCCACUCUUCUCUGCACACUCACCAUGAGGACUUUCCAUCAAAGCCAACCUGAAUCGUUUGGCGAGUUUUGGCAAGCAUAGCACAUGAGACAUUUCUGGAAACCCCUCUCGUCUGCUUUUCCUUUCCAUCCUGAGAGCUCCUCUCUUCAUCCCACUUUAGCUUACCACUCAGUCACUGAGUGUAACAAGUCAAGCUUGUGUGUUCCAUACAUGCUAAUACUAAGAUCAUCAUUUAAUCUUUCACCUAAACCAGGAAGAUUUUUAAAGUAAAAUACGGUCCUAUUAAUAACUCUACCAGAGCAAUAGCUACCAACAUGAACU